rnacentral:tRNA from 1 species
GCGGGUAUAGUUUAGUGGUUAAA